CUGGUCUGUUAAGUCUCUGGGGAAAUCUACUGGCUUAACCAAUAGGCGUUUCAGGGAUACUGGCAGACUAGGGACCGGGAGAGGUGAGAGGUACUCCAGGGGUAGGAGUGAAAUCCUGUAAUCCUUGGGGGACCACCUGUGGCGAAGGCGUCUCACCAGAACGGCUCCGACAGUGAGGGACGAAAGCUGGGGGAGCAAACCGGAUUAGAUACCCGGGUAGUCCCAGCCGUAAACGAUGCGCGUUAGGUGUAUCGGUGACCACGAGUCACCGAGGUGCCGAAGAGAAAUCGUGAAACGUGCCGCCUGGGAAGUACGGUCGCAAGGCUGAAACUUAAAGGAAUUGGCGGGGGAGCACCACAACAGGUGGAGCCUGCGGUUUAAUCGGACUCAACGCCGGAAAUCUCACCGGAUAAGACAGCUGAAUGAUAGUCGGGCUGAAGACUCUACUUGACUAGCUGAGAGGAGGUGCAUGGCCGUCGUCAGUUCGUAUG
rnacentral:rRNA from 1 species